rnacentral:tRNA from 1 species
AAUAAAGUGCCUGAAUUAAAAGGAUUAUUCUGAUAGGAUAAAUAAUGUAGAAUUCUACCUUUAUUA